rnacentral:rRNA from 1 species
AUACGGAGGAUGCAAGCGUUAUCCGGAUUUAUUGGGUUUAAAGGGAGCGCAGGCGGAGAUGCAAGCGUGACGUCAAAUUUCGGGGCUCAACCCCGUCUCGCGUCGCGAACUGCGUCCCUUGGUUGCGGGAAGGGGAGGCGGAACUCGUGGUGUAGCGGGGAAAUGCAUAGAUAUCACGAAGAACUCCGAUCGCGAAGGCAGCCUUCCGGCCCGUCAACGACGCUCAUGCUCGAAGGUGCGGGUAUCAAACAGGAUUAGAUACCCUGGUAGUCCGCACAGUAAACGAUGGACACCCGCGGUUUGGCCUGUAUGGCUGAGCCGCCAAGCGAAAGCGUUAAGUGUCCCACCUGGGGAGUACGCCGGCAACGGUGAAACUCAAAUGAAUCGACGGGG